CACAGACUAGAAAUGUAAGCUGUGAUCACUUCAAAGUUGUUCCCCAGAGUUGGUAAUGGAUGAUGACAAGACCUGGAAAUCUUUCAGACCCUUGCUUCUUUCAGUUCACAGAAUGCACCUGCCCUGGGGAUAAAUCAUGGCUGAGGACAGUGGCGUAGCCAGCUUCUCAGAGGAGGGGCAGCAAACAUAAAAAAGGACGCCUACCUGAUUUGUUGCAGAAGUUGGAAGAUAUAAAGUGAAUGAGGAAGGGGACUGCAGGAAGAGACAGGAUGGUCUCUGGUUAAGAUGCAGUAUGUGAUAAUUAGCAGAAUCAUCCAGAUUGGAAGAGACCUUGAGGCAAUCCUCCUGCAUGAUGGAAGGAAAUUCCUGAGUGUAGCAAACCACUCAAAAAGUUGGGGAAAAUGAGGCACAGAGACUCUGAAUGAUCUGCUUAAGGUCAUACAAGAAACCUGUUGCAGAGUCAAGAACAGACCCAAGAUCUCCUGACAUUCAGUCUUUCUUCUUUAACGAGCACACAACCCAAAAUAUAAAAUUAAAUGUGAUUAAAUGCUGCACUCCAGCCUUGGGAUUCAUUUACUAUUUACUCAAGAGGAUG